CCUACGGGACGCAGCAGUGAGGAAUAUUGGUCAAUGGCCGAGAGGCUGAACCAGCCAAGUCGCGUGAGGGAUGACGGCCCUACGGGUUGUAAACCUCUUUUGUCGGGGAGCAAGACCCGCCUCGUGCAGGCGGAGCGAGAGUACCCGAAGAAAAAGCAUCGGCUAACUCCGUGCCAGCAGCCGCGGUAAUACGUAGGGGGCAAACGUUAUCCGGAUUCAUUGGGCGUAAAGCGCGCGCAGGCGGGCCGCUAAGCGGGACCUCUAAUCUUGGGG
rnacentral:rRNA from 1 species